GCUGGGCAUGGUGGCGCGUGCCUGUAAUCCCAGCUACUCAGGAGGCUGAGGCGGGAGAAUUGCUUGAACCCAGGAGGCGGAGGUUGCGGUGAGCCGAGAUCGCGCCAUUGCACUCCAGCCUGGGUAACAAGAGCGAAACUCCGUCUCAA
rfam:Callithrix jacchus chromosome 8, whole genome shotgun sequence